rnacentral:rRNA from 1 species
CGGGUGAGUAACACGUAUCCAACCUGCCGUCUACUCUUGGCCAGCCUUCUGAAAGGAAGAUUAAUCCAGGAUGGCAUCAUGAGUUCACAUGUCCGCAUGAUUAAAGGUAUUUUCCGGUAGACGAUGGGGAUGCGUUCCAUUAGAUAGUAGGCGGGGUAGCGGCCCACCUAGCCAACGAUGGAUAGGGGUUCUGAGAGGAAGGUCCCCCACAUUGGAACUGAGACACGGUCCAA